rnacentral:rRNA from 1 species
GACGAACCGUGCGAACGUUGUUCGGAAUCACUGGGCUUAAAGGGCGCGUAGGCGGGCUGCGGCGUCCGGGGUGAAAUCCUCCCGCUCAACGGGAGAACGGCCUCGGAUACGGGCGGCCUCGAGGGGGGUAGGGGCAUCUGGAACUGUGAGUGGAGCGGUGAAAUGCGUUGAUAUUCACAGGAACUCCGGUGGCGAAGGCGAGGUGCUGGACCCCUUCUGACGCUGAGGCGCGAAAGCCAGGGGAGCGAACGGG